UCCAAUUUUUACCGCGGUGGUAUAAAAGGUGCAUCCAACAGACAGAAACCCUAGCCGCCGUACCCCAAUCGCCUCGCAGCUUUGUCUGCCCAAUCCCCUUCCUUCCACUCCUCCCCCAAUCGCCUUCUUCCUCCUCUGCGAGCCGCCGGCCUCGCCGAUGCCUCCUCCCUGCUCACCCCUGCACGGACAAGCCCGAGAAACCGCAGCGCAUCGCGAAGGAGCGAGGACCCCGCCCCCGUCGAUCUCCUGGCCGUCUCCAGCGAUUUCCCAUGGCCUGCGGUCUCCCUGUUCUGCUCCUCUGACCAAGACGAGGAGAGGACAUCGAGCCUAGGAUAAUCGAUGGCACGACACCGAGACGGCGUGCUCUCUACAUCAUAGCACGCGUUGGUGGUCUCCAUCAAUCUCUUCACGGCGCUGCUCUGUGCUUGCAUCGUCCUUUGACACCUCCUCGAGGAAAUCUGUUUGCUCAACAUGGGGAUGUGCAUCGAUGUGGUGAUCCUGCUGACGACCAAGGGAAGAGCUCGCACGUGCUUGUCUACAGCAAGGAACUCUUCUUCAUAUACCUCCUGCCCCCCAUCAUCUUGCACAGGUUUCCAGGUGAAGAAGAAGCAGUUCUUCCGGAAUUUCAUGACUAUCAUAUUAUUUGGUGAUGUUGGGACAAUGAUAUCACGAUAUCUCUUGAUACGGUGGUCCUACAUGGACAAACCUGGUGGAGUGCCAGUGAGAAGCAACGUCUUAGAAAGAAAAGUUUGAGCAGCAUGUGGUUAAUCAGAGCAGAGCAAUAUGUUAUGGUUGAUCAAAACAGUUUCCUUACUAGCUGAAGUUCCAACCAGGUAGUAUAAGACAUUGUUAUUCCAGAGAUACCCUGCAGUUCUAAUUAACAUAACCAGAGUUCCAAAAAUUUCUUUGGUCACUGGCCAUUUGGAGCUCCAACCUAUUUGUUUUGUGCAAGUCCUAUUUAUCUAUGCAUACAAGAUGUUCGGCACAAAUCCAAGCAGGAUGUUCUCAUAUAUAGAUGACACUUCUGACUUCUCAUUUGCAAAAAUAUCUUGCUCUUUAUCUGAAUGGAUGACCUUUGGCCGCUUUGUCUUCGAUCGGUUUUUAUUAUCAUUACUCAACAUUUCACCUGCCUUCUCCUAUUAGUGGUGGUGAACCAUAGAAAGCAUUUAGAACUACACAGAAGUAAAAAAAGGGGAGGGGUUAAAAUAGUAAGGAUCUGGGCCUGAUUAUAUUGAGAUGUCAAGAAAUAAUCUUUCAGCCUGCACAACAAAGGCUAAAAUGUCAAUUUACCUGGCUGAUUUCUCCCUUCUAUUGCAGUACAAAGUAGUACAAUUGUGUUACAAACUGUAGAUAUGAACUGGAACUUAUGCUUUUCAAUUUGAGAUAUUUAUUGAGACUGAGAAUGAACGAAUAGUUCACGUUAUAUCGUUCAUGCUUUUCUGAAUAUAGCUGAACCUAUGUGUUCUAACUUGUCUGAACACAUGCUUUUCUUCCCAUACUCAUGACCCAUCUUGGAAAAUUUGCAUUAUAUCACACCAAGUGUCAGAAUUAUAAACGAGUACCGUAUCUUGGCACAGUUAUCUUCUUCAUAGCAGUAAAGACCAAAGAAAAAAUUUCCAUGUCUUCUACAUUUUAAUUUCAGGCACCACUAUAGUUUUGUAGAUGAUACAUUAAGACUACAUAUAUUAUAUGUUCAGUUUUUUCGAAUCUUAUUGGGAUUUGAUGAUAGAUACUGCCAUCACUUUGACUUCUCAAGUGUACAAAAUAUUUUAAAUUAUUACUUACACCUGUAUAACAGCCUAACAGCCAUGAUCAGUCUGCUUUAAUGUGUACUCUACUAUGAAGAAAGAGGAAGUGAAUGUGCAUUAUAGAGUGUUGAAAUUAUGUAUAUACGUCAAUUUGUACGGUGUGGUCUAUUGUCCAAUCCUAAUUUCCUACAGAAGCUGGCAUGUUUGCCUUUUUUUAAACUCCAUGGUCGAAUACCAUAUGCUUGGUCUGAACAAGUGACACUCUAUUCUUUCUCACAUGUAAAUAUAUGAGAGGAGUGAUUCUAAUCUGACAUGAUGUUUUGAUAUGUAGAAACAUUAGUGCUGGCUGAUUGGGUUUAUUAAACCUGUUGUUAUUCAUGUCCUAUUUGCAGCAAUGAUUGCUGGUAUACAUAGUAGCAUCCUUUGUUUUGAUAGGGCUAUGGCCUUUAGUAGCAACUUUCCAGAUCGUAAACCGCUUGGUGAGACAUAAGUAAACAGGAGUCUCAACGUGCAGUCUGCACUUAAUUUCUUUAAUAAAAUAUAUGCGAUGUUACCAAUUAGCUUAUCCUGAGUAGAACAAUGAAACCAGUUUAAUUUCUAUGAUUGCAAUGCAUUUAUCAACAAUACAAUUUUGUGUUUGAGGUUGCAGCUUCUGAGUUCAACAAUUAUGUUCGAUCUGUUCUCUCCUGUUAUUUCUAUUUUAACCAGAGCAAUUUUUAAGAGGAUGGUAGCCAAGAAAUAUUUCUACAUACAUGGAAGUAUAUUUCAACACCGCAUCUCAAUUUCCACAUAAGGUGGUUUCGUUUGUAUUCGCUUCAUCAGAUAUAUUGUUCCUUGUGUACAUGUGUUUCCCUCCGGAUCCAAGCUUAAAAUUCUGUUCCAGACCCACUUUGUUAAGUAAGAGGGCUGCUAUCCUUCUCUCCUUCAGCAGUUAUUGGUUUUGCUGUGAAAGGAGUAAUGCCAUUUGGUUUUCCUCUAGGAAUAAUCAAAUCAUUUCCUAAGAUAUCACCUGAAUAGUUGAUUCCGAUUAACUGUCAUCUUAAUGCCAACCAACUUUAAACUGCUUCAUGGUUUUUCUACUACGAACAGUUAUGAUGCAUUUGGUGUCUGGCGAAAACUUCUUGCAUUUGGUGUUUUGGUGAGAAGUGUUCAGUUUAACAUAAUCAGUACUAUUUUCUAUAUUGUAUUUGUCUACCUCUGCUGCAGACAUAGAUUGUUUUGAUGGGUUGCAUUGCCUGAUCCUUUUUUUCAUUCUUUAGCAUACAAAUAAGGAUCGUUAUUACCUAAUGUUUGUAUGGCACCUCAAAUCGUCUGAUCUGCCUUGGUGUUCUCCUGUCUGGUACUGCUAUGUUCUAUCCAUGGACCUAUAGGUUAACUCACUCGUUCAUUUUCAUUUUCUGGUUAGCCUUCAUGGUCUAUGACAAUCCAUGGCGUAGGCCCCUACGGAGGAGAUUCGUUUUGAAGCUACUGUCUUUGUUCCUUUUACCUUUCUUCGUUUGCUCUUCACGCAGACGGUACUUAGAUCCAGCUUCACGUGACAUAAAGGGCUGUGUGCAUCUUUUGGAUGCAGAGGCCGGGUUUAUUCCCCCAUUUGGAAAAAAGCUUCACGUGACAUAUUUUGGGAUUCUAAAAAUGAUUUUUGUUCUGAUGCAGAGAUGCUAGGUCUGUUAGUGCCUCCUGUGUUGUUUAUAAGAUUUCACCGGUGGGAUAUUUGUGCCCUUUACCUGGUCUCCGAGCACUGCCUCAUGUGACGCUGUGUUCGUCCCUGGUUCAUCAAGGUUAGGAGGAUGCUGGCUAGCGGUAUAAUUUCCAACCUCGUACGCAUCUUUUCCUCUGGUUACUUGAUUUGUAAAUGAGGUACGCCAUCUUGCUUCUCUUUUUUGGUUCAUGCAAAGUUUGGUACUUUUGUUCCUGGAAGAAUCUGUAGAUAAGAAAUAUGGAAAGUAUAUUGAGAAUAGAUUAAUUUAAGAAUCAAAAUCAUAGAAGUACUCAGAGUCAUAUUAAGAAUAAAAAUCAUAGAAGUAUUCAGAGUCAUAUUAAGAAUCAAAAUCAUCAUAUUUGAGUAUUUUUGCUUUCAAGUGAUCACUAAUUUUGAGAAUAGAUUAAUUUGUUGCGCCUCUUUUUUCAGUAGGAACCGGUGCUCACUUGCUAUUUGUUCUCUGUACCACCCUUUUCUUGGUGUCAUGGGUCUCCUCAUUAUAGAAGUAUUCAGAGUCCUAAUGCUAUUGUAUGGCAAUGCUGAAAUUAUAUUGAAUCAUGGUUACAUACCAAAGAUUAAUAAUUGUUUUAAACUGAAGCACGACUCACAGAGCUUACUUUUAAGACUUACUUUUUUGGUGGCUCAAAGUAGACGACAAUUCAUGACAAUUAUGGGCCUGCCAAUAGAAGCAUCAUUAUGAAUAAAUUACAACUACAUCAUCUCCUUCUAAUUACAGUCUCUCAAUCAGGUAAGAUUACACUCCCUUUUUGCCACACAGGCUCAACUAAAUGUUGCACUCAGGAACCAUUUUUCUGGUUACCUACUUUUAAUCAACCAAGGCUUGUAGUAACCAGUAGUAAAUGUAUCUCUGUACCACAACCCAAUUUACACUUGACAACUAAUUUUCAAAACAUUCCUAUAACAUAUAUAUUUACGUUUGACAGUUAAACUUGGUUCCAUGAAACCUUCAGGCUACUCAGGUUCUGAGCAGUUUUGUAGUAGCAGUGAAGUUUUUAGUGUGGCAUCCGAACUAACAAGCCAUGUACUGUACUCAUACUUGUAGGUCCAGGUUACCAAUUCAUACCAUUUCACAUUAUUCUUGAACUGUGAGUUUGGAACAGCACCAUAAUACUUCACUUUGAGCAGUAUAACAUGUAUGACUGGUUUAGCCACAUGAGUUAACUAGCAGGUUAUUUCUUUGCAAACAGUAGCAUUAGCUGAACCAAUAGAUUAACUCAGGUUUUGUUAUCCAAUUUUUUAUAAAAAAAACUAAUCCAAAACGUGAAACCCAAGUUAACCAGAAUUCUGCUGAACCUUGUGAACUAAAAAUUGUUAUUGAACUAAAAUAAGAUUUGAGUGAGCAUCUAAUAGCUACAGCAGACUUGAACUAAAUCUAAAUGCAUAAAAAUUAUUUACUUUCUCAGACUACAAACAAGAAAGCACAAAUAUUCUUUAUGUACGAGGCAAGGCUACCUUUUACCCUUAGCUAAUAUCAUCUCCCGUCCCUCCUUACCAGGUUUAAGCCAUGGACGUUGUUGAGAUUCUAUCCAGGGUCAUGAUGAAGGCAGAUCCCAAAACCAUUGUGCAACAGUAUACCCACCAAGAGCAAAAUGACAAUGACAUUCUACCCAUAAUAUACAUCAUUUUGUUGGAGAGAAGUCCCACAGCAGGUCCUUCAAGCAAGCAGUGUAUAGGUUGUUGACUAUACAGUUAUUUUGUUGCAAGACAUGUUGUAUUAAUGAAGAUUUCAUAGUUUCACCUAUCGGAUAAUUUUUUCAUUUGAUUUCUACGGAUUCUUAA